rnacentral:rRNA from 1 species
AGAGAGGUCAGUUCGGCUGGAUCGGUGACAGGUGCUGCAUGGCUGUCGUCAGCUCGUGUCGUGAGAUGUUGGGUUAAGUCCGCAACGAGCGCAACCCUCGUCCUUAGUUGCCAGCAUUAAGUUGGGGCACUCUAAGGAGACUGCCGGUGUUAAACCGGAGGAAGGCGGGGAUGACGUCAAGUCCUCAUGGCCCUUAUGUCCAGGGCUACACACGUGCUACAAUGGCCGGUACAAAGGGUAGCAAGACCGCGAGGUGGAGCCAAUCCCAAAAAGCCGGUCUCAGUUCGGAUUGGAGUCUGCAACUCGACUCCAUGAAGUUGGAAUCGCUAGUAAUCGUGGAUCAGCAUGCCACGGUGAAUACGUUCCCGGGCCUU